GAGUAACGGAGGAGCACGAAGGUUGGCUAAUCCUGGUCGGACAUCAGGAGGUUAGUGCAAUGGCAUAAGCCAGCUUAACUGCGAGACGGACAGGUCGAGCAGGUACGAAAGUAGGUCAUAGUGAUCCGGUGGUUCUGAAUGGAAGGGCCAUCGCUCAACGGAUAAAAGGUACUCCGGGGAUAACAGGCUGAUACCGCCCAAGAGUUCAUAUCGACGGCGGUGUUUGGCACCUCGAUGUCGGCUCAUCACAUCCUGGGGCUGAAGUCGGUCCCAAGGGUAUGGCUGUUCGCCAUUUAAAGUGGUACGCGAGCUGGGUUCAGAACGUCGUGAGACAGUUCGGUCCCUAUCUGCCGUGGGCGUUGGAUGAUUGAAGGGAGUUGCUCCUAGUACGAGAGGACCGGAGUGAACGAACCUCUGGUGUUCGGGUUGUCACGCCAGUGGCACUGCCCGGUAGCUAAGUUCGGAAUCGAUAACCGCUGAAAGCAUCUAAGCGGGAAGCGAGCCCUGAGAUGAGUCAUCCCUGACCCCUUGAGGGUCCUA
rnacentral:rRNA from 1 species